rnacentral:rRNA from 1 species
GAUGAACGCUGACAGAAUGCUUAACACAUCAGCAAUUGAUUGGUGGCGGACGGGUGAGUAACGCGUAAAGAACUUGCCUCACAGGUAGGGACAACAUUUGGAAACGAAUGCUAAUACCUAAUCCUGUGAGAGAGCUUUGCGUCCCAUUAGCUAGUUGGCGAGGUAACGGCGCACCAAGGCGAUGAUGGGUAGCCGGCCUGAGAGGGUGAUCGGCCACAAGGGGACAGGGACGCGGCCCUUAGGCAUACGGGAGGCAGCAGUGGGGAAUAGUGGAAAAUGUACCAAAGUCUGAUCCAGGAAUUCUGUGUGCAAGAUGAAGUUGUCGGAAUGUAAAGUGCUUUCAGUUGAGAAGCGGUACCAACAGAAGAAGUGACGGCUAAAUACGUGCCAGCAGCCGCGGUAAUUC